GUCACCUCGCACACUGCGAGGGGCUCCAUGUUAUUCUUUCAAGCACUUUCCAUAUUUUAUGGUACGCAGUUUUCAUCAUCACUAGCUCACAUCGCUCAAAAGCUUCCCGGCUCUGACCACAAGCACGCUGUGACACCAGCCAGCGAACGCAGCCAGACGGUUACAGCAGCAGCCCACUCCCCACGGUCCUCUCCCGGGAUUUUACCCUCAGAGCACAGACAAGGGGUGCAAAUCACUCUCCCGCUCCUCUCCCGGCCGUUCUCCUCUGAAUGCCAGCGUCCGCAGCAUGCACAGUUAUCUUUGCCACCACAGAGGGUGUUUGCGCAAGCAGAUAAGUACCGAGGGCUCACUAUCACCCCGGGAUGCUCUGCUCACUCCCCAUGUGCUCUUAUCAGCCCUCGGAAGGACCACAGCACUGCCACGAGAGCAAAGCCCGCGCAGCCGCACCGCACAUCCGAGCCAGGGGAAAAGGCUCAGUGUCAGCGCAGGAUUUUUAAUUUGGAAGCUCUUAAUAAAAUGCUGAAGAAGUCAAAACUUUCCUUGGAACUUUGCAGCUGGGAAAAGAAUGGGCACCAUCAGCUCAUCUUCGAGGGAGGCGCUUUCGGCAGUCGGAGGCUCCAGCACCAGGAAGGGCUGCAGGCACCCAGCGAUCAGCGCGCACGGCUCUGCCGGCAUCGACCGCGUCCUCACCACGGUGGAAGCAGCACUGCUGGGGUGGUCGGACACCACGGUGGGAAGGCCAGAGGAGCACCAAGAGAGGCACAGCAAGCCCACGACGGGCCGGGUCUCCUCCGCCGCGAGGACAGGCGAAGGUUUUGCUUUAGUCCCACUGUUGGCACCAGUCAGUGUCCCCCUGGAGAGGCACACAGCCCCCCGGACGGGGCUCCCGCUUGGCGCUUCCACAGCAAACCUGGUAUGAAAACCACAAAAAGCUUCGCGGCGGAGCAGAUGCUGCUUCAGCCCCUGUGGGCAGAGACGGACGAGGAGGAGGGAGAGGCGAGAGCCACGGUCUCCAGCGAAGGCCCCGUCACAGCCUCGGAGGUCAGCCCGGGACAGCGGGUUUCCCGCGCAGAUAUCCUCCCGUCUCCGUCCCCCACGUUCGCCGCCGGUGGCAGCAGCGGAGGAGGUGCGAGGAGGAGGUGCGGCUCUGCUGCUUUUUCAAAAAGUAAUAAAAAGGAGCCUCCCCGACCCGCCUGACGAGACAGACGGUGCCGAGAGCGCUGCUUCCCACGGCGAGGCGGCCCCCGAGCCCUCCUCCAUCCCGCCGGGGCACAGCGCACCCGGCCGGGAGCGCGGGGAGACCCCCCCGACCCCCCGGCCCUGCCGCCGAGCUCCGGCCCCGCGGGCACAGGGCUCACGGCUCCCCGAAGCGGCCGCAGAGGCAGCGGGUGGCGUCCUGGGGGGAACCCACCAAAGCCCCGUCCCCGCCGGGGCACCCCGCACGCCGGAGGGGUCCGGGGAGCCGCGCUGCCAGGCUCUGCCGCCCCGCUCCCGGGCACCGAGCCGCUCCCGGGGCCCAGCGGGAAUGGGGGUCCCGGUACGGCAGGAGCGAUGCAGCGGGAGCAGCGGGGCCCGGCAGAAGGGGUGCGCCGGGAGUAGUGCGUCCCGGCUCCCGGCACAGAUCCCGGAGAUGAAAGGGGAUGCUGGGACACCCGGGUGGGAUGGCAGUCGUAGAAUCAUAGUAUCGCUUGGUUGGAAAAGACCUUUGAGAUCCUCGAGCCCGACCGUACCUGUCCACUACUAAACCGCAUCCCUGAGCACCGCCUCUGCCUGGCUUCUAAACACCCCCAGGGAUGGGGACUCAACCCCCUCCCUGCGCAGCCUCUGACGGUGCCCGAGAACCCUCACAGUGAAGAAAUUUUUCCUGACGUCUGAUCUGAACCUGCCCUGGUCCUUGUGAGCCCCUCCCGGCUCAGGCAUUGUAUGACUCUAUGGCCUUUCGAGCAUCCCGGGCUCCUGGAUUUCAGAGCACCAGCCCCGUGCGUGGCAGGAGUAAGGAAGAGGCUACUCCAUUCUUGCCCAAAGGGCUGAACGUGAGAGGUGAACUGGAACAGCAUCACUUCGAGCCCAGACAGAAAGCAGCCAUCUCCGGCAUCCAGCGCUCCAGCUGACAGCCUGCAGCCAUUCCACAGAAGAGCUCCAGACGGGAAGUCAUCUCCCCUGACAAAUUACAGGAGCCACUUCACACAGGGCAAACACUUCCGGUUUCACAGAAACCAGAGCGAGACCGCGAACGGCAGCGGGUCAGGGCCUGUUCCCCCCGAGCUCUCCAAGGCCUCCGUUCCCCCCGAGCUCUCCAAGGCCUCCGUUCCCCCCGAGCCCUCCCGCAGCACCUGAGGGUGCCGUUCCCCGAGCCCACGGCUGGGAUGGUCCGAAGCUCUCACGGGACAGCUUUCCACACAGAGAUUUCCCCUCAGUCGCUUCAUUCGCGUCUGGCAGCGAAGUGAUCCUUAGCCUGGGUCAAAACCUGGAAAGCUUUGACAAGGAACACAGACAUCAGGAGGAGUGAAAACAGCAGAGGCAAACCUUCAGCUUUCAGCGCAUACGAGCACAGAUGCCACAACAUUUGCUUUCCCAAAGUUAAACGCAGAGCAGCGGUUCUUCUGCGACACAGCGCCGUGCAGGGAGCUUUGCCGACUGCCACCUCUUUUCCUAAUCAGGCUGAUUUCAGGGACAACAGGCGAUUUUAUCAAAUUUCUGUCCUGUCCUUUGAUACAGGUCUUAGCUGCUAAUGACGCUAGGGAGUAAAAAGAAACAGGAAUAGAAAUACGCAACUAUGAAGAAUUAAAAUAGUGAAUUUAAUUCAGCCAGAUCCAACUAAAUUGCGAAUUCCCUGAAAAACAAACCUUGCACAGAAAACACAGAACACAAAUGGUUUUGUCUUGACAGCUGGCGAGAACAACCAAGUGAAAAGGUGGAGUAUUUCUCCCUUCUCUGAAAAACAAAAGAAGCCACACAGUCUGAAAAUGCCCCUUGUUUUUCUCCUAAAUGGGCUGAUUUUGGAGGUAGCUGUUUGCAAGGAAAACAGAGGUCUGUACUCCGAUCCAAGCAGUAACUUCAGAUGCCCACGAAGAAAUGUUUCACAAAUGUCUGGUUUUCAAAAAGCAUUUAUGCUUCCUUAAAGAAAAAGCCAGGGCUUUUAAAAAUUAUUCCAAUUAGCCCAGAAAGAACAACAAAAAUCCAUUCUUUUUAUAAAUCCUAAACCCAGCUUUCCAGCGGCCUUUUAUGUGGGCUUCAGGGAGGUGCAGCAUGCGACAAAAAUGAUGCAAGGUUAAGGCUCUCGCCAGCCCGGGAUGAGGGAGCUACAGGCAGCCUGGCGCAGCUUCUCUGAGCACUGAAAUACUUUUUCCAAACCAACACCAAAAAAGGUUUGUUUCUAGGUCAAGACCUCAGCACUAAAUUUUCACCAGGGCCUGACGGCCAAAUCUGAGCACAGCGGUAAGACGGAGUUGCAAUAGCGGCUCAGGCAUUCUUUUUCUAAUUAGAAAACAGUCAUUGAGCCUUCUGCGUUUAAAGGUGAAAGCUAUUUUUGCCAUAAAAAUUAGCACACAGUUCCUCUGCCAUCCUUCAGUUGCUGCUCUGGAAGCUGUGAGCGAAUGAUCCAAAGAUAAGAAGCAUAAACAUGCUGAAUUAAAUGAACAGGCAGGAGGAGACCAAGUUUUAAGUUUUAUUCUGCCCUACAAUUACAGGAGGAAAGGAUUUGUUUGUCACUUACUAUUUAUCCUAAAAAGCACUGGUAAGGAGGUCCACUUAAGCACUGAGACGGAGCCCAGAGACGUUUAAAAAUAUGAAGUGCUUUUAAUAGCAGCCUUCUGAAAAUACUGUUAAAUCUAUUUUUGAGAUGGAUAAAUUAAGCUGCCAAUAAACAAAGGCAGGGGUUUUCCAAAGGACCUGGCGGUACGGUAGUAAAAGACCGCACUGCACUUCUCAGCACCUCAGCUCCCACCCGGGGACCCCAAGCGGCAAGAUAAAAAAAUACCCCAAUUUUCCUUCCUUUGGUGGGAAUCUCCCCCGACAGCCUUGAAAAUUAACCCCAGGCAGCUUUCAAAACGUGGCUCAGAGUGACUGUUUCUAAAAUAAAAGUGAGGGAAGAGCGAGCAGAACUUGGAGGGCUUAUCACCACCAGUAAUGCCACCGACUAAUCCCUCGGCAGCCCCGGCCCCUUUAUGUAACCUGGGAUUGCUGCAGCUAAAACAGCUUAUUGGGGGUUUGGCGUUUUCCUUUAAACCUCUCACGGACAAAUGCAAACAUAUUAAAUACUUUUUUCUUCUGCCACGCUACAGGAAAAGUUAACUGUAAGAGGGAGGGGGGAACCUUUUAUUUGUGAAUAAUGGCGAACAGAAUUUAACUCAUACACUGAGAGUAACGCACGAUUUUCUCUCUUAUUCAUGACCUUGACUGAACAGAAAUCUUGCCCAUUUACAACACGCAGGUGUAACUUUCUGAUGAUAAGACAUAAAAGGUCGAAUCCCAAAUUGCUCCUCACCCCAAGCAUCCUGUGGAAAUGGUGGGGUGUUCUAAAUAAAGGAAAAACGGUGCCCAAGGUAAAACCAUCAAUACCAUUUCCUGGCAGCGUGGGUGGCUGUGCCACAAUACUUACUUCCCCGUGGCCCAUUUCCCCGCAGCGCCUCGCCAGCAGAGCCAGGCGCCGGAGGCUCUCCUUGCCCGGAGGACGAGUUUCCGUGCCAUUGAUCUGCCUGUUCUGACUUUCCAGGGCACAAAUCCUUCCAAGGCAAAAUUCAACUUUAAAACUUUCAGUCGGUGCUAAGCCAUUAACCUAACGCUGAAUGCUUAUGGAAAGUUAAGAAGAAAAAAAAAUAAAACCCCUAUUGAACUACUUGCAAUCGGAGACCUGAAUGGGCUCGGUAUAAAACCCACUCAAAUCAACGGCAGCAGUAGGCUUGCCUGGAUGUUGGACUAGAUCCAGCUUAAAAGUUUCCAUGAAAUAAACUAGGCUAAGUGCAUCAGCUGCAUAGAAACUAACUCGGUGUAACAGGAGCAUCUGUUCUUCACAUCCACCAUUUUCUUACAGUCUCAGCUGCCCAGGGCUGCAGCGACACGAGCUGCCGUCCAAAUCCCUCACCGCCGUCGUGCAACUACACCUCGCUGCCCAGCAGCAGCCACCCUUCCUGCCUCCUCCGACUGUGGAUGAACCAGAGAUUACAUGGAAGCGUGCCUGCCGUAUGAACUAACUGCUCAGGUAGCUUUCGUUUGUCAAAAAACAGCUUAACGUAUUUCGUAUGAUGGUAUUACAAAGCAAAGUUAAUGUCUGUACUGAGACAGCUGAGGAGCACACCUCGGAACCAUUUAUACACAGUACAAAGCAAAUGUUUACCCAAGUACAAAUGAAACAGGUUGACAAUUAGCUAAUGUAGCUUUGUGGACAGAAACCAGGUACAUUUGAGCAGAACCAACAUAGAAUAAAAAGGAAACAGCCCUUUUCCUAUCCCAUGCUAAGAGGACUGUGGUUAGUGGCUUGGGAAGCCUCUGUCACACUGCAGAAUUUCCUGGCCAGUGUUUAAUGUGUUUGUUCUACUGCUACUCUGCUGGGAUAAAAGUGACAUCAGCAGAGCGGGCUAGCGGGAUGAGGACCCACUGUCCGUACUACAGUAAUUGACAACAUACAAUUAAGUCUCACACCUGUUUAUUGUAAUUAAUUCAUAGAUAACCACUUCUAGUACACAUUUUCAUAUUGGCUUUUAAUGCUUUUGGUUUGUUUAAGCUCAGGGACACCCAAACUUCAUCUAAGGGUCAUCUCUACGAUUUACCCGGAUCCGGAACGCUACACCUGCUAUGUAAAACUGGUGUGAAUCGGCAUCACUGCCAAGGGUAACAGAUGGCUUGGAAGCUACACAUCCCAACAUGCAACACCCCACCAGCGUGGGCUGCUCUACGCUACGGGAGAAAGGGUUCUGGCUGGGGUGCAUUCGCCUCGCAUGCCUCGCUUUGGCCAUACCAGCCUAAGUCAUGCAGCUGCCUGCACGCAACGCUCUACACAGUGCAAAAAACGAAGACCUCUACACAUCUGGAGUAAGAACAGUGGUAACAAAGUCAUAGCUACAUAUUCUUCUCUACAUUUUUGUUUAUUGAGACAAACUAAUUAAAAGGCACAAACAUAGGGCAUAUGUUUACAUGGACAUUAUAACAAACAUAUACAUUAAAAGUGUAGGAAUGUGUUUCCUUUCUGCUAAACAGAAAGUUCCUAAGCUUUUAUAUAUACAAAAGUUGUACAAUUUGAUGUCCUAAAGUACAAAAGAUCAUUUAUAAAAUUAUUUUACACUAAGCUCUAUUUUUUUUUUUGUUUUUGUUUUACUAUGUAGUCCAAGCCCCUAGAACAGUUUCACGUAAUGAUACAGAUACCUGUCACCUGAGCCAGCAGCCCGGCAAUCACUGCUUGCACUGACACGGCAGGGUAGGAACGGAAGCAGUCCGUUUGGACUAGUCAGUCCUGCUAGUACUCUGUGAAAAUGCGCACACGCUAAUUCUCCAUAGCUUUCAACUUCAUUAAGAUAAAAACAUCUCGACUGUAAUUUUUUAUUUAUUUUUUUUUUAACAUAGAGUCUUGGGUUUAGGGUGGUUCUUUUUUUUAAACAAAGUUUUAAAAACGUGAAUAUGUGACGUGAUAGUCUAAAAAGUAUAUCUGUUUCCCUAGAUUUUGCUUUCUACUUUAUGUACAGAUAAACAGGUUAAGAAAUAAAAAGCACAUGAGCUUAAACAUGUGUGACCAUUUGUGGAGAAGUUCCGGGCUGGAUAGUUCAAAUCAUCACCCCACAACUCCCACAAACUGAUAGAAAUGUGUUAACACAAUAGAAGAAUAACGUAAAAAUGAUGAUGUUUGCAAAUAUUUACAAAGUUGAACAGAUUUGCACAACACUUGAUUAAGAAAUAGGGGAGAAAUUAAAAGAUGCUCUCUGCUUGUCCUGGAGGGGCAUCCUACCUAGUUAGUGGUUAGAAUAAAAACUGUAUACAAUUUAAUAUAAGACAAAACUUCUAGUGAACAACUAACACGUCUGUCCCCUGCUGUAACACCAGCAGGCUCUGACUGGGAGGCAGAGGGCAUAAAAAUCACACCCGGUGCCUCCAGAAUCUUCCAGCUUAAAGCAGUAUUUCUUAAGUUUCAAAAGCACUCCUUUGCUCCUAGAUAAGAGUCCCAUAGGGGUCUGACUGUUCAGAGACCAUGUUUACAUACAUUUCGACUCUUCUGUCAGCCAUGGCUGUUUCUCACCAAACAAGAACAGUUUUUUUUAAAAAAAAAUGUUGACUACAAUGCUAUAUUCCCUUAGGGUAAUAUGUUGGGUAAUAUUUACAUCUCCAAAUAUCAGGUCACAAUCCCUAUUAUAUGUUGAAGUUAGAAUGAUAAGUUAUCAUAUGCUUUGCAUAUCAGAGCUGGUAUCACCUUUCCCAUAGGGAAUGCUGCCUGAAAUUAUCAUAUUCCCAAAGGUAAAAUGCAUAUUUUCUCCAAAAUGCAUUUUUUUUAAAAUGACAACAUUGUAAUGCAUUUACUCGUUUAAAAAAAAAAAAAAAAACAAAACAAAACCAACAUCAACACAGACUAAGAUCCUACACUAGCUUAGAAACAGUGGACUUAGUUAAAAUCAGCCAUCCACCCUGCUGAAGAUACAGAGGGGUCUUUGCUAGUGUUUAGAUUAAAGUAAAUUUCUAAGUUAUAAUUUGGGAGUUAAAACAUAAAACUGUUUUUAAUUACUUUUUUUUUAAACUCUGGCAAGUAAGUAUCUGCUCUAAUUCAGCAUCAGUCGGCUAAAAGGUAAAACUUACUUUAAAUGAAGUGCUCCAGUGAAACUCAAGUUUGAACCACGUGAGCCAAAUCAACAGGGGAAGAUACUACUAUGGUCUCUGAUGGUGCAUGUUGCCCCAGUGUCUUAGUCUGAAUUUA